rnacentral:rRNA from 1 species
CUGUUCCCAUGCCGAACACAGUAGUUAAGCUUCUUAACGCCGAAAGUAGUUGGUGGGAAACUGCCUGCGAGGAUAGGAAGCUGCCGCGC